rnacentral:rRNA from 1 species
GUACAUGGCUAUACCACCCUGAAUGCUUGUUCAGAAGCUAAGCAGGGUCAGGCCUGGCUAGCCCUUGGAUGGGAGGAAGGGGCACUCCCUAAAGGAGCCCGCCCUGCUUCCUCUU